rnacentral:rRNA from 1 species
UUAAGCGACUAAGCGUACACGGUGGAUGCCCUGGCAGUCAGAGGCGAUGAAGGACGUGCUAAUCUGCGAUAAGCGUCGGUAAGGUGAUAUGAACCGUUAUAACCGGCGAUUUCCGAAUGGGGAAACCCAGUGUGUUUCGACACACUAUCAUUAACUGAAUCCAUAGGUUAAUGAGGCGAACCGGGGGAACUGAAACAUCUAAGUACCCCGAGGAAAAGAAAUCAACCGAGAUUCCCCCAGUAGCGGCGAGCGAACGGGGAGCAGCCCAGAGCCUGAAUCAGUGUGUGUGUUAGUGGAAGCGUCUGGAAAGGCGCGCGAUACAGGGUGACAGCCCCGUACACAAAAAUGCACAUGCUGUGAGCUCGAUGAGUAGGGCGGGACACGUGGUAUCCUGUCUGAAUAUGGGGGGGACCAUCCUCCAAGGCUAAAUACUCCUGACUGACCGAUAGUGAACCAGUACCGUGAGGGAAAGGCGAAAAGAACCCCGGCGAGGGGAGUGAAAAAGAACCUGAAACCGUGUACGUACAAGCAGUGGGAGCCUCUUUUAUGGGGUGACUGCGUACCUUUUGUAUAAUGGGUCAGCGACUUAUAUUCUGUAGCAAGGUUAACCGAAUAGGGGAGCCGAAGGGAAACCGAGUCUUAACUGGGCGUUAAGUUGCAGGGUAUAGACCCGAAACCCGGUGAUCUAGCCAUGGGCAGGUUGAAGGUUGGGUAACACUAACUGGAGGACCGAACCGACUAAUGUUGAAAAAUUAGCGGAUGACUUGUGGCUGGGGGUGAAAGGCCAAUCAAACCGGGAGAUAGCUGGUUCUCCCCGAAAGCUAUUUAGGUAGCGCCUCGUGAAUUCAUCUCCGGGGGUAGAGCACUGUUUCGGCAAGGGGGUCAUCCCGACUUACCAACCCGAUGCAAACUGCGAAUACCGGAGAAUGUUAUCACGGGAGACACACGGCGGGUGCUAACGUCCGUCGUGAAGAGGGAAACAACCCAGACCGCCAGCUAAGGUCCCAAAGUCAUGGUUAAGUGGGAAACGAUGUGGGAAGGCCCAGACAGCCAGGAUGUUGGCUUAGAAGCAGCCAUCAUUUAAAGAAAGCGUAAUAGCUCACUGGUCGAGUCGGCCUGCGCGGAAGAUGUAACGGGGCUAAACCAUGCACCGAAGCUGCGGCAGCGACGCUUAUGCGUUGUUGGGUAGGGGAGCGUUCUGUAAGCCUGUGAAGGUGUGCUGUGAGGCAUGCUGGAGGUAUCAGAAGUGCGAAUGCUGACAUAAGUAACGAUAAAGCGGGUGAAAAGCCCGCUCGCCGGAAGACCAAGGGUUCCUGUCCAACGUUAAUCGGGGCAGGGUGAGUCGACCCCUAAGGCGAGGCCGAAAGGCGUAGUCGAUGGGAAACAGGUUAAUAUUCCUGUACUUGGUGUUACUGCGAAGGGGGGACGGAGAAGGCUAUGUUGGCCGGGCGACGGUUGUCCCGGUUUAAGCGUGUAGGCUGGUUUUCCAGGCAAAUCCGGAAAAUCAAGGCUGAGGCGUGAUGACGAGGCACUACGGUGCUGAAGCAACAAAUGCCCUGCUUCCAGGAAAAGCCUCUAAGCAUCAGGUAACAUCAAAUCGUACCCCAAACCGACACAGGUGGUCAGGUAGAGAAUACCAAGGCGCUUGAGAGAACUCGGGUGAAGGAACUAGGCAAAAUGGUGCCGUAACUUCGGGAGAAGGCACGCUGAUAUGUAGGUGAAGCGACUUGCUCGUGGAGCUGAAAUCAGUCGAAGAUACCAGCUGGCUGCAACUGUUUAUUAAAAACACAGCACUGUGCAAACACGAAAGUGGACGUAUACGGUGUGACGCCUGCCCGGUGCCGGAAGGUUAAUUGAUGGGGUUAGCGCAAGCGAAGCUCUUGAUCGAAGCCCCGGUAAACGGCGGCCGUAACUAUAACGGUCCUAAGGUAGCGAAAUUCCUUGUCGGGUAAGUUCCGACCUGCACGAAUGGCGUAAUGAUGGCCAGGCUGUCUCCACCCGAGACUCAGUGAAAUUGAACUCGCUGUGAAGAUGCAGUGUACCCGCGGCAAGACGGAAAGACCCCGUGAACCUUUACUAUAGCUUGACACUGAACAUUGAGCCUUGAUGUGUAGGAUAGGUGGGAGGCUUAGAAGUGUGGACGCCAGUCUGCAUGGAGCCGACCUUGAAAUACCACCCUUUAAUGUUUGAUGUUCUAACGUUGACCCGUAAUCCGGGUUGCGGACAGUGUCUGGUGGGUAGUUUGACUGGGGCGGUCUCCUCCUAAAGAGUAACGGAGGAGCACGAAGGUUGGCUAAUCCUGGUCGGACAUCAGGAGGUUAGUGCAAUGGCAUAAGCCAGCUUGACUGCGAGCGUGACGGCGCGAGCAGGUGCGAAAGCAGGUCAUAGUGAUCCGGUGGUUCUGAAUGGAAGGGCCAUCGCUCAACGGAUAAAAGGUACUCCGGGGAUAACAGGCUGAUACCGCCCAAGAGUUCAUAUCGACGGCGGUGUUUGGCACCUCGAUGUCGGCUCAUCACAUCCUGGGGCUGAAGUAGGUCCCAAGGGUAUGGCUGUUCGCCAUUUAAAGUGGUACGCGAGCUGGGUUUAGAACGUCGUGAGACAGUUCGGUCCCUAUCUGCCGUGGGCGCUGGAGAACUGAGGGGGGCUGCUCCUAGUACGAGAGGACCGGAGUGGACGCAUCACUGGUGUUCGGGUUGUCAUGCCAAUGGCACUGCCCGGUAGCUAAAUGCGGAAGAGAUAAGUGCUGAAAGCAUCUAAGCACGAAACUUGCCCCGAGAUGAGUUCUCCCUGACUCCUUGAGAGUCCUGAAGGAACGUUGAAGACGACGACGUUGAUAGGCCGGGUGUGUAAGCGCAGCGAUGCGUUGAGCUAACCGGUACUAAUGAACCGUGAGGCUUAACCUU